rnacentral:tRNA from 2 species
GCAUGCAUAGCUCAGUGGUGGGGUUUCUCGAGUCUAAAGGGAAGGUUGGGGGUUCGAACCCCUCUGCCCACA